CCUACGGGAGGCUGCAGUGGGGAAUAUUGGGCAAUGGGCGCAAGCCUGACCCAGCAACGCCGCGUGAAGGCAGAAGGCUUUCGGGUUGUAAACUUCUUUUGUCAGGGAAGAGUAGAAACCGGUACCUGACGACUCAGCCACGGCUAACUACGUGCCAGCAGCCGCGGUAAUACGUAGGUGGCAAGCGUUGUCCGGAUUUACUGGGUGUAAAGGGCGUGUAGCCGGGUUGACAAGUCAGAUGUGAAAUCCUGCGGCUUAACCGCAGAACUGCAUUUGAAACUGUUGAUCUUGAGUACUGGAGAGGCAGACGGAAUUCCUAGUGUAGCGGUGAAAUGCGUAGAUAGUAGGAGGAACACCAGUGGCGAAGGCGGUCUGCUGGACAGCAACUGACGGUGAGGCGCGAAAGCGUGGGGAGCAAACAGGAUUAGAUACCCCAGUAGUC
rnacentral:rRNA from 1 species